GACGAACGCUGGCGGCGUGCUUAACACAUGCAAGUCGAACGAGGCCCCUCCUUCGGGAGGGUGUCCUAGUGGCGAACGGGUGAGUAACACGUGGGCAACCUGCCCCCGGCUCUGGGAUAACCCCAAGAAAUUGGGGCUAAUACCGGAUAUGACCGCUGACCGCAUGGUCUGGUGGUGGAAAGUUUUUCGGCUGGGGAUGGGCCCGCGGCCUAUCAGCUUGUUGGUGGGGUAGUGGCCUACCAAGGCGGCGACGGGUAGCCGGCCUGCGAGGGUGACCGGCCACACUGGGACUGAGACACGGCCCAGACUCCUACGGGAGGCAGCAGUGGGGAAUAUUGCGCAAUGGGCGGAAGCCUGACUCAGCGACGCCGCGUGGGGGAUGACGGCUUUCGGGUUGUAAACCUCUUUCAGCAGGGACGAAGCGAAAGUGACGGUACCUGCAGAAGAAGCACCGGCCAACUACGUGCCAGCAGCCGCCGUAACAC
rnacentral:rRNA from 1 species